CUAUACGUAGGUUGCUAUAGGCGUGGAAAACGCUGUAUAUUACAGAUUGGGACAGGCACUUCCAAACUGACAAACAAAUUUUAUUUAAUUUCCAUCAGACAGGAUGGCUGCAUUGUUGCAUCAGUUAAGGCUGUGGGCAGCAGCACGUCCAAUGAACUAAAAGAUUUCGGCAGUAGGCAUGAUCCGACGGCAUACGCAUCAUUUGGCAAAGAAUCUGGCAGUAAUGUUUGUUACAGUCUCUGUAACUCGGAGGCUUGAUGCAAGGUGGACACAGGCGGCCGAUGCCUACAUAUACAAUGUAUUAUCAGCUAAACAGGAUUUAAUUUUGUCAGUAUAAUAUUGAAAUCUGAAAAGCUGUGGGAUUCAAAGUAAGGGAACGUACAUGACGCAUGGCAGGACGGAGAGAGAGAAGAAAUGAUCAGAAGAACAGAGAAGGAACUAGCCAUCAGGAAUGCAAUCCCUCCCAUGCUGGUCUUGAUGU
rnacentral:lncRNA from 1 species